rnacentral:rRNA from 1 species
AGAGUUUGAUCCUGGCUCAGGAUUAACGCUAGCGGCAGGCCUAAUACAUGCAAGUCGAACGGUAACAGGUCCAGCAAUGGAUGCUGACGAGUGGCGCACGGGUGCGUAACACGUAUGCAAUCUACCUUUAACUGGGGGAUAGCCCCGAGAAAUCGGGAUUAAUACCCCAUAACAUUAUGAUGAGGCAUCUCAUUAUAAUUAAAGCUCCGGCGGUUUUAGAUGAGCAUGCGCGACAUUAGCUAGUUGGUGAGGUAAUGGCUCACCAAGGCGACGAUGUCUAGGGGUUCUGAGAGGAUUCACCCCCACACUGGUACUGAGACACGGACCAGACUCCUACGGGAGGCAGCAGUAAGGAAUAUUGGUCAAUGGGCGCAAGCCUGAACCAGCCAUGCCGCGUGAAGGAUGACGGCCCUACGGGUUGUAAACUUCUUUUGUACGGGAAAAAACCACCGGUCGUGAAUCGGUGCUGAUGGUACCGUAAGAAUAAGCAUCGGCUAACUCCGUGCCAGCAGCCGCGGUAAUACGGAGGAUGCAAGCGUUAUCCGGAUUCAUUGGGUUUAAAGGGUGCGCAGGCGGAAUGAUAAGUCAGUGGUGAAAUCUCUCGGCUCAACUGAGAAACUGCCAUUGAUACUGUCGUUCUUGAGUACACUUGGAGUGGGCGGAAUGUGUCAUGUAGCGGUGAAAUGCUUAGAUAUGACACAGAACACCGAUCGCGAAGGCAGCUCACUAAAUUGUAACUGACGCUCAUGCACGAAAGCGUGGGGAUCAAACAGGAUUAGAUACCCUGGUAGUCCACGCUGUAAACGAUGAUCACUCGAUGUUGGCGAUAUACUGUCAGCGUCUAAGCGAAAGCAUUAAGUGAUCCACCUGGGGAGUACGAUCGCAAGAUUGAAACUCAAAUGAAUUGACGG